UCAAGCUAAUAAGGGCUGUUGGUGGAUGCCUUGGCAUCGAGAGGCGAUGAAGGACGCGCAUACCUGCGAUAAGCUCUGGCGAGCUGGAAAGAAGCAUUGAGCCAGAGAUUUCCGAAUGGGGAAACCCAGUGGAGUUAAUCCUCCAUUAUUUCUAACUGAAUACAUAGGUUAGGAAGGCAAACCUGCUGAAUUGAGACAUCUAAGUAGGCAGAGGAAGAGAAAUCAAACGAGAUUCCCGUAGUAGCGGCGAGCGAAGUGGGAAUAGCCCAAACCGAAAAUUUAUUUUCGGGGUUGUAGGACUAGUCAUAAAGCAAAUGUGAACCUAACAUAACCUUCUGGGAAGUUGGGCGAUACAGGGUGAGAGCCCCGUGUGUAAAAGGAAAGCAUUUGUGAGAUUAGCACCUGAGUAGGGCCGGACACGUGAAACCCGGUCUGAAUCUGGGGAGACCACUCUCCAAGGCUAAAUACUACUCGAUGACCGAUAGUGCACAAGUACAGUGAUGGAAAGGUGAAAAGAACCCCUGUUAGGGGAGUGAAAUAGAAUCUGAAACCAGCAGCUUACAAGCGGUCAGAGGCCUAUGGUUCCUUUUAGGAAUCACGGCUGAUGGCGUGCCUUUUGCAUGAUGAGCCAGCGAGUUGUGUUAUACGGCUAGGUUAAGGGACAUCCGUUCCGGAGCCGAAGUGAAAGCGAGCGUAAAUAGCGCAUUAAGUCGUAUGAUGCAGACACGAAACCAAGUGAUCUAUCCAUGGUCAGGAUGAAGCAAGGGUAACACCUUGUGAAGGUCCGAACCAGUAUAUGUUGAAAAAUAUUUGGAUGAACUGUGGAUAGGGGUGAAAGGCCAAUCAAACUUGGAGAUAUCUUGUUCUCUCCGAAAUAACUUUAGGGUUAGCCUCGACUUUGAGACUCAUGGGGGUAGAGCACUGGAUUCCCGAGGGGGCCUACCGGCCUACCAACGGAAACCAAACUACGAAUACUAUGAGUUAAGUCGGGAGAUAGACAGUGGGGGAUAAGCUUCAUUGUCGAAAGGGGAACAGCCCAGAUCGCCGAUUAAGGCCCCUAAUUCUAUGCUAAGUGAGUAAGGAUGUGAAGUUUCUUAGACAGUUGGAAUGUUGGCUUAGAGGCAGCCACCAUUUAAAGAGUGCGUAACAGCUCACCAAUCGAGAGACUUUGCGCCGAUAAUGAUCGGGACUAAGUAUAGAGCCGAAAUCGCGGGUGUGCCACAUUAGUGGUACGCGGUAGGAGAGCGUAGUAUGUGCGGUGAAGAUAUACCGUAAGGAGUGUUGGAGCGCAUACUAGUGAGGAUGCAUGGCAUAAGUAUACGAUAAAGGGAGUGAGAAUCUCCCUCGCCGAAAACCUAAGGUUUCCAGGGUAAAGCUCGUCUUCCCUGGGUUAGCCGGUCCCUAAGCUGAGGCUGAAAAGCGUAAGCGAUGGAAAGUAGGUUAAAUAUUCCUACGCCACCUAAAACUAUAGUGAUGGGGUGACGGAGUAAGUAAAGCAUGCGGGCUAUUGGAUGUCCGUUUGUGCAUGAGGCUGGUCAGUAGGUAAAUCCGCUGACGGAAAGCUAGGUGUAUGACAAGGGGAAUCUUCGGAGGAACCGAUGGUGUGGAGCGAUGCUUCCAAGAAAUAACCUCUAGCUGUUGAUGGUGACCGUACCAAAACCGACACAGGUAGGUGGGAAGAAUAUUCUCAGGCGCGCGAGAGAACUCUCGUUAAGGAACUCGGCAAAUUGUCCUCGUAACUUCGGGAAAAGAGGAGCCUUUGGGCGUGAUACCUUCGCGGUUAAGCGCUUGGAGGUCGCAGUGAAUCGGCCCAGGCGACUGUUUAACAAAAACACAGCACUAUGCAAACUCGUCUAAGAGGAAGUAUAUGGUGUGAUGCCUGCCCAAUGCCAAAAGGUCAAAAGGAGAUGUCAGCCCUUCGGGGCGAAGCAUUGAAUUUAAGCCCUGGUGAAUGGCGGCCGUAACUAUAACGGUCCUAAGGUUAAUAGCUAGCCUUAGUAAAACCAAACUAUAUGCGGGAAACCCUUCAAAAGCUAUUAGGUACUCGUCAUCUAUAUCUCAGCAAUUUUAAAAGCUAGAAUUUUUACAAAGUAAGCGUCACAAAUUUAAAUUUAUCGAAGCAACUCCUAUCAAGUAGAUAGGAGAGAUGCAGAGAAGAUUAAAGGUGUGGAUGAUUACGCAGGAAAAAACUAACUUUUAAAAUUGCUGAGAUAUGAAUAUGGCAGUAAUAAUCCUAGUAGACAUGGUGGCAAUCCGCAGGAAAGAUUAAUUGUUGAAAAUUGGUCAGAACACUUGGAAUGUAACAAGCAGACUGAUCAACUGAGAUUAAAAUCCUCAGAGACCAAACGUUUGGAGUUUGAAAUGGAUUUACAAGCACAAUGGAUUGUUGGCUUCGUGGAUGCAGUUGGAGAAUUUGAUAUUUCGAUAAAUCGAAAAGAAGAGAUCCAAUUUCAAUUCACCGUUGUUCAACAUGAGCGAGAUGUUCAAGUUCUCUAUGCACUUAAAGCUUUUUUCGGUUGUGGUGUGGUUCGUAAGAACCAUAGCGAUCGAAUGGCUUACCGUGUAAGAGGCAUUGAGCACUUAACGGAAAUGAUUAUUCCCUUCUUUGAAAAGCAUACGCUUAAAACAAAGAAAGGAAUAGAGUUUCAAAAAUUCAGAAAAGUUCUGCUUAAAAUUAAGAGAGGCGACCAUUUGACACCAGAAGGAAUCGAAGAGAUUCGAAACCUGAAGAAUCAAAUGAAUCGUCUUCAGCACCAAGAGAAACAACUAGAAAGUGUUUCUUGAGGAUUCAAACUAAGAUAGAGUCCGACUUUACUAGAAAUAGUAGAAGACUAAUCGAGCGAAAUUCCUUGUCGGGUAAGUUCCGACCUGCACGAAUGGCGUAACGAUCUGGGCACUGUCUCAACGAGAGACUCGGUGAAAUUGUAGUAGCGGUGAAGAUGCCGUUUACCCGCAGCUAGACGGAAAGACCCCGUGAACCUUUACUGUACUCUGAUAUUGGCUUUUGACUUGUCAUGUGUAGGAUAGCCGGGAGAUAGUGAAAGAGACUCGUCAGGGUUUCUGGAAUCAUCCUUGAAAUACCGGCCUUGACAUGUCGGAAAUCUAACGAAGCCCCAUGAAUCUGGGGUUCGGACAUUGUCAGACGGGCAGUUUGACUGGGGCGGUUUCCUCCUAAAAAGUAACGGAGGAGUCCAAAGCUUGUCUCAUCGUGGUUGGCAAUCACGAAUUGAGCGUAAAAGUAUAAGACAAGUUGACUGCGAGACCUACAAGUCGAGCAGGUACGAAAGUAGGGUUUAGUGAUCCGGCGGUGGAAAGUGGAAUCGCCGUCGCUUAACGGAUAAAAGGUACUCCGGGGAUAACAGGCUUAUCGCCACCAAGAGUUCAUAUCGACGUGGCGGUUUGGCACCUCGAUGUCGGCUCAUCGCAUCCUGGGGCUGAAGAAGGUCCCAAGGGUUUGGCUGUUCGCCAAUUAAAGCGGUACGCGAGCUGGGUUCAAAACGUCGUGAGACAGUUUGGUCCCUAUCUGCUGUGGGCGCAGGAUACUUGAGAAGAGCUGCUUCUAGUACGAGAGGACCGAAGUGGACGAACCAAUGGUGUUCCGGUUGUUCUGCCAAGAGCAUUGCCGGGUAGCUACGUUCGGAAAGGAUAAGCGUUGAAAGCAUCUAAACGCCAAGCCUCCUUCAAGAUAAAGUAUCCCUAUGAGAUGACCUGAAGACUACAGGGUUGAUAGGCUGGGUGUGUAAGUGUAGUAAUACAUUGAGCUAACCAGUACUAAUACAUCCAUAGGCUUGAUCUU
rnacentral:rRNA from 1 species